UACGUAGGGGGCAAGCGUUAUCCGGAUUUACUGGGUGUAAAGGGGGCGCAGACGGGUAUGCAAGUCUGAAGUGAAAACCCACGGCUCAACUGUGGGCUUGCUUUGGAAACUGUAAACCUUGAGUGUCGGAGGGGUAAGCGGAAUUCCUGGUGUAGCGGUGAAAUGCGUAGAUAUCAGGAAGAACACCGGUGGCGAAGGCGGCUUACUGGACGACAACUGACGUUGAGGCCCGAAGGCGUGGGGAG
rnacentral:rRNA from 1 species